ACACACAACUCUUUCUUCCUUGUCUCACACAUACCAGAGUCCCUGAGUAGACAUGUCACCAUCUCUCCUCUCCACUGCUGUCAUUAUUUCCAUCAUCAUCCUAAACUAUUUCAACCAGCUAAGUGAGGCAGAAGGAGAAUUAGUGAAACCAGUGGUCAGUGUCAAUACUGUCAGUGAUGACAGGACUGUCACUGUGGUCUGUCAGACCAACACGUCUAUGGAGAAGAAAGUCACAUGUUACCUGUACACUGGAGACACACCUGAGUUCUUCAUUUCAACAUGGACUAAAUCAACAGUGUGUCAUUUUUACAUAAAGUGUGAUGAUCUCGAGAGGCGUUUCCAGACCGUGGGCAGCAGGAAUGUGAGCUGUGACUACAGUGUGGAAACAGACACAGAGCAUCGCUCUCCACGCAGUGACAGCUAUUCUGUACCAGCUUCAUCCCCAGGAGUUUCCACAACAAGAUGUCCAGUGACUUCUGGUACCACAGUGAUUCCCCAAUCGAGUUUAAUGACUUCUAACCCCAUUUCUGAGACAGAAUUUCCAACACAAGCAGUUUCCACAGCAAGCUGGGCACUGACUUCUAGUACCACAGAGAUUCCCCAAUCAAUUUCCUCCACAGGAGUUUCCACAACAAGUUCUGCACCGACUUCUGGUACCACAGUGAUUCCACAGUCUAAUUCUUCCCCAGAAGUUUCCACAACAAGGUCUGCACUGACUUCUGAAAUCACAGCAACUCCACAGUCAAGCUCCAUUUCUAACACAACCUCUGUGACAGAACCUCCACCACAAGGUCAGCAGGUGGUUGUGGGAGUGGCUUCUGCAGUCUGUGUGCUUCUCUUGGGAGUGACAGCCAUCUGCCUAGGCAUAAAAUUCAAGAAAAAAAUCAUCAAAAGGGAGCAGAGAGGUCCAGGUUUCCUUUUAAACGAUGGAGACACUUUGCGGAUUGGGGACACAUGUGCUCCGGAAGGGACCUGCUCCAUCAUCACCAGCAUCUCCUCUACUCCCAACAUUCAGCCUGAUGGUAACCUUAUGAAAGCAGAUAAAUUGGGCACUGAGACACCUGGAACAGAUGAAACUUAUUGCAUCAUUGCAGACCCCCCUUCAUGCUCUGGCUCACAGCUAUUUGAUCCUGUUAAGAAAGGGGAGACCCCGGAGGGGCCUCUGUAUACCGUGCCUUAUGAACACCACGUCUAUGCUACCAUUAAGGAUCAGCCCUCUGCCUCAGCUCAACAGGACCUGGUCUACAGCCUUCUGCAGAAGCACUGAUUCAGACAUAACCUGAAAUCUGCCCAGGAGGUUGGACCAGAACUUGGACCGAAUGAGCUCUUCUGAGCUCGUGUUUAACUGUCUGUUUGCUUGUUACAUAUUGCUAUAUGGAUUUUCUCUGCUGGGGAUCCAGUUUGUAUGUGUGUUAGGUAUGAUUGCUAAGUUGAUUUUUGAUAAUUGAUUAUUUUUCUGUAUUUGGGAAAUACGAAUUUUCCAAUUCACUUUGAAUUACUUAUUUUCUGCACAAAAUUAUGUUAAAUUAAUCACUAAAAAAGCAAUUCUAUUUUGCACUAGCAUGUUAUCCUUUAACUUCCACCCUCUUUGAAACAUAUACUACAGUUGUAUGCUCGUUUAUUAUAACAUUCCUUAAGCAAACCUUGCAGCACAGCAAUCAGUUCAAUAAAUACAGAAUGAAUUCAUUUUAAAUUUCUGCA
ensembl:lncRNA